rnacentral:rRNA from 1 species
CGGCCUUUUAUUCUUUUUAGGAGGAAUUUGUAAAUUAAUCGACAUUACACGAUAAUUUUCACUUUAAUAUUAAUAAUUUAUAUACCGCCAUCAAAGAUUUUUUAUAAAUAUUUUAUCUUAAUUAUAAAUAAAAUGUUAGGUCAAGGUUUAAUUUAAAUUAAAGGCUUUAAUGAAUUACAUUAAAUAUAUUUAAGGAUUAAAAUUUUUUAAAAUUUUUUAAAAGAGGAUUUAUAAGUAUAUUUAUAUAAUAAUUUUUAUAAUUGAAUAAGAUAAUAAAGUGU